AACGAACUUUAUAGCGCUAGCGACACUAAAUUAAAGAGCCAUAAGGUGACUUUUUUUGUUUAGGGUCAUAAGUCCUUACAAACAAUUCCACAAAGACAUUGCAGUCAUAGUACUCCAGUAGUUUUUGACGCAUUUGCAUCCCGAUCUUUUUCACCAUUUGGGCAUUACGGCCAAUAAUAAUUUUUUUUUGACUAAGUUUAGGCACACUAAUGGAAAGGUGUAGCUUCAACAGGUUUUUAGCUUGAUCAAAACUCUUAUCGACAAUCUCUAGCC
rnacentral:sRNA from 1 species